GAAAACAACGAAGGAGUAAGAGGGAUAGAUCAAACUUGGGCCCCUGAGCGACGUGUAGCGGGGGAAAGUACUACAGGGCCAUCUAACGAGCCCGUAAAACAGAAUCAAAGUAUGUGUCUUCACGGUUGCCUACAUUAGUGACCACAGCCUGAUCGGGUGCUGCACAAACUGGCCAUGAUCCAAUCCACACAAGGCCUCGCCAAAGAACGUUCCAUUUCGUCGUAAUUACGCAUACCAGCUCGGCGGCCAUGUUCGUUACGAUAGCAACAUAAGGACGCUAAGUUGAAUUUGAACGGUGAUGGCGACGACCUAUUCAACACUGUCACUAGCACGUCGUUCAUUUGUAGAGACAUGUUUAUGUGGACUGGAUAUUGUGUUACUAUUGUAGUGGUAAAAUAAAUAAAAUACAGCGAACUGAUCUUAGACCAAGAGGAAACGCGAUUCUUUUUGACAGCAAAUUUGACCAGAGUUUUUAAAAUUGUCGAAUCCGCAUGGAUCUUCGUAUUUAAAGCUUUUUUACGCCAAGGUCAAAAUGCCGAACAUUUGUGCAGUUAACGCAUGUUACAACAAAGGUGAUAAAAAUAAUCCAGCCAUAAGUUUUUUAUAGUUUCCAAAAAGUUCGCAUUACCGCACAUUGCGGCUGAAAGUGUGCAAAAGGAG